AUACGGAGGGUGCAAGCGUUACUCGGAAUCACUGGGCGUAAAGCGCGCGCAGGCGGCUAUUUAAGUUGGAUGUGAAAGCCUACGGCUCAACCGUAGAACUGCAUCCAAAACUAUUUAGCUAGAGUGUGGGAGAGGAAGAUGGAAUUAGUUGUGUAGGGGUAAAAUCCGUAGAGAUAACUAGGAAUACCAAAAGCGAAGGCAAUCUUCUGGAACACUUCUGACGCUGAGGCGCGAAAGCGUGGGGAGCAAACAGGAUUAGAAACCCUUGUAGUCC
rnacentral:rRNA from 1 species